GAGUCAUUGGGACACGUGCUAAACCUAAAGGCGCAAUGAAAGUAAAGGUCCGCCGCGCGCGGACCUAGGGAGGAUGGGACCGUCCACGGGCGGACCCCGCACUCCCGGGGCGUCUCGUUCUCAUCGCGAGGAGAGGCGCACCCAGAGCGUACACGCUGGGACCCGAAAGAUGGUGAACUAUGCCUGGUCAGGACGAAGUCAGGGGAAACCCUGAUGGAGGUCCGUAGCGAUUCUGACGUGCAAAUCGAUCGUCGGAACUGGGUAUAGGGGCGAAAGACUAAUCGAACCUUCUAGUAGCUGGUUCCCUCCGAAGUUUCCCUCAGGAUAGCUGGCGCUCGCCUUCGCGAGUCUCAUUCGGUAAAGCGAAUGAUUAGAGGCAUUGGGGUCGAAACGGCCUCAACCUAUUCUCAAACUUUAAAUGGGUGAGAUCUCCGGCUUGCUUGAAAGUUGAAGCCGCGAGAGAAUUUAAAAACACUAUCGGAUCGAAGAGUGCCAAGUGGGCCACUUUUGGUAAGCAGAACUGGCGCUGUGGGAUGAACCAAACGCCGAGUUAAAGCGCCAAAAUCGACGCUUAUGGGAUACCAUGAAAGGCGUUGGUAACUUAAGACAGCAGGACGGUGG
rnacentral:rRNA from 1 species